UUAUGACCAUAUCACUUUGAAACAUCGGUUCCGAUACGAUCACCGAAGUUAGCAACGUCGAGGCUGGUCAUUACUUAGAUGGGUGACCGCUUGGGAAUAACAGGUGCUAUA